AGAACGAACGCUGGCGGCAUGCCUAACACAUGCAAGUCGAACGAGACCUUCGGGUCUAGUGGCGCACGGGUGCGUAACGCGUGGGAAUCUGCCCUUGGGUUCGGGAUAACAGUUGGGAACGACUGCUAAUACCGGAUAAUGACUUCGGUCCAAAGAUUUAUUGCCCAGGGAUGAGCCCGCGUAGGAUUAGCUAGUUGGUGAGGUAAAGGCUCACCAAGGCGACGAUCCUUAGCUGGUCUGAGAGGAUGAUCAGCCACACUGGGACUGAGACACGGCCCAGACUCCUACGGGAGGCAGCAGUGGGGAAUAUUGGACAAUGGGCGAAAGCCUGAUCCAGCAAUGCCGCGUGAGUGAUGAAGGCCUUAGGUUGUAAAGCUCUUUUACCCGGGAUGAUAAUGACAGUACCGGAGAAUAAGCCCGGCUAACUCCGUGCCAGCAGCCGC
rnacentral:rRNA from 1 species